UCCGACCUGCACGAAUGGCGUAAUGAUGGCCAGGCUGUCUCCACCCGAGACUCAGUGAAAUUGAACUCGCUGUGAAGAUGCAGUGUACCCGCGGCAAGACGGAAAGACCCCGUGAACCUUUACUAUAGCUUGACACUGAACAUUGAGCCUUGAUGUGUAGGAUAGGUGGGAGGCUUUGAAGUGUGGACGCCAGUCUGCAUGGAGCCGACCUUGAAAUACCACCCUUUAAUGUUUGAUGUUCUAACGUGGACCCGUAAUCCGGGUUGCGGACAGUGUCUGGUGGGUAGUUUGACUGGGGCGGUCUCCUCCUAAAGAGUAACGGAGGAGCACGAAGGUUGGCUAAUCCUGGUCGGACAUCAGGAGGUUAGUGCAAUGGCAUAAGCCAGCUUGACUGCGAGCGUGACGGCGCGAGCAGGUGCGAAAGCAGGUCAUAGUGAUCCGGUGGUUCUGAAUGGAAGGGCCAUCGCUCAACGGAUAAAAGGUACUCCGGGGAUAACAGGCUGAUACCGCCCAAGAGUUCAUAUCGACGGCGGUGUUUGGCACCUCGAUGUCGGCUCAUCACAUCCUGGGGCUGAAGUAGGUCCCAAGGGUAUGGCUGUUCGCCAUUUAAAGUGGUACGCGAGCUGGGUUUAGAACGUCGUGAGACAGUUCGGUCCCUAUCUGCCGUGGGCGCUGGAGAACUGAGGGGGGCUGCUCCUAGUACGAGAGGACCGGAGUGGACGCAUCACUGGUGUUCGGGUUGUCAUGCCAAUGGCACUGCCCGGUAGCUAAAUGCGGAAGAGAUAAGUGCUGAAAGCAUCUAAGCACGAAACUUGCCCCGA
rnacentral:rRNA from 1 species